rnacentral:lncRNA from 1 species
CUCAAGUAAGAAGACCUUCGGUGAGAUCUGUACAAAACAUACGACGACUAACCGCCGACAAGCAAUUGAUGCUUUGUUCGAAACCGGAAAGUGCGCCUGCCCUCCCAUAUCACUAUCAUUAUCUAAAGAAGUAAAAGCUCCCAGCUACAAGCAUCAUGAAAUUUAUUUUUUGCAUUUUCUUCUUGCUUUGUGCAAGUGGCAUCAUUGUUAGUUCUUCUAUCAGUAAUGAAAGUAGUGGAAAGCAUAGCUUAGUUUUACAGUCCUUGGAAUCUGAUACUGCAGUCUUCGUUCCUCGGAUUAAGCGCCAACUUCGGCCGCAAGGAGUCAGCAAACCAUUGUGCAAUAUGUUUGGUUGCAACUGCACUCCGCCGCCAAAAGCCAAAUGCUGUAGAGGAUACAGGUACGACAGGCGAUCCAAACGUUGCAGAAAGGUCUCUAAAUAACAUGGUUUUUUGAUAUAAUAUUGCCACGAAGAGACAAGUUUCACAUCAUUUAUGUAGUUAAUGGAAGUUAAAUAAAAAAAAUAUUCUCUUUGACAUUUAUAAGAAAAUAUAAUUUUGUAUAAAAAAUGAAUUACCAGAUGUAGUCUCUAACACAUAAAAGUUAGUAUCAAAUUUUGAAUAUUUCUGCAAUGCAAUUAUAAACAAUAAAAUUUGAAUUUUGAAU